UACGUAGGGUGCGAGCGUUAAUCGGAAUUACUGGGCGUAAAGCGUGCGCAGGCGGUUGUGCAAGACCGAUGUGAGAUCCCCGGGCUUAACCUGGGAAUGGCAUUGGUGACUGCACGGCUAGAGUGUGUCAGAGGGGGGUAGAAUUCCACGUGUAGCAGUGAAAUGCGUAGAGAUGUGGAGGAAUACCGAUGGCGAAGGCAGCCCCCUGGGAUAACACUGACGCUCAUGCACGAAAGCGUGGGGAGCAAACAGG
rnacentral:rRNA from 1 species